rnacentral:rRNA from 1 species
UACGUAGGGGGCUAGCGUUGUCCGGAUUUAUUGGGCGUAAAGAGCGUGUAGGCGGCCAGGUAGGUCUGGUGUGAAAACUCGAGGCUUAACCUCGAGAUGUCAUCGGAAACCAUCUGGCUAGAGUCCGGAAGAGGAGAGUGGAAUUCCUGGUGUAGCGGCGAAAUGCGCAGAUAUCAGGAAGAACACCAAUGGCGAAAGCAGCUCGCUGGGACGUUACUGACACUGAGGCGCGAAAGCGUGGGGAGCGAACAGG